ACGAACGCUGGCGGCGUGCUUAACACAUGCAAGUCGAACGGAAAGGCCCUGCUUUUGUGGGGUGCUCGAGUGGCGAACGGGUGAGUAACACGUGAGUAACCUGCCCUUGACUUUGGGAUAACUUCAGGAAACUGGGGCUAAUACCGGAUAGGAGCUCCUGCUGCAUGGUGGGGGUUGGAAAGUUUCGGCGGUUGGGGAUGGACUCGCGGCUUAUCAGCUUGUUGGUGGGGUAGUGGCUUACCAAGGCUUUGACGGGUAGCCGGCCUGAGAGGGUGACCGGCCACAUUGGAACUGAGAUACGGCCCAGACUCCUACGGGAGGCAGCAGUGGGGAAUAUUGCACAAUGGGCGGAAGCCUGAUGCAGCAACGCCGCGUGCGGGAUGACGGCCUUCGGGUUGUAAACCGCUUUCGCCUGUGACGAAGCGUGAGUGACGGUAAUGGGUAAAGAAGCACCGGCUAACUACGUG
rnacentral:rRNA from 1 species